UACGUAGGGGGCAAACGUUGUCCGGAUUUACUGGGUGUAAAGGGUGCUCAGGCGGUCUUGUAAGUUAGAAGUGAAAUCCUAGGGCUCAACUCUGGAACUGCUUUUAAUACUGCAAGGCUUGAAUAUGGAAGAGGAGGGUGGAAUUUCUGGUGUAGCAGUGAAAUGCGUAGAUAUCAGAAAGAACACCAGUGGCGAAGGCGGCCCUCUGGUCCAUUAUUGACGCUAAAGCACGAAAGCGUGGGGAGCAAACAGG
rnacentral:rRNA from 1 species